UUUAAAUGAUGUAAUUGAUUGGUCCGUGUUACUGAUUUAUCAAUGAUUUUAUAACCAAUCUCUGACUAA
rnacentral:snoRNA from 1 species